UACGGAGGGGGCUAGCGUUGUCCGGAAUUAUUGGGCGUAAAGCGCGCGCAGGCGGCCUUUUAAGUCUGAUGUGAAAGCCCCCGGCUCAACCGGGGAGGGUCAUUGGAAACUGGAAGGCUUGAGUGCAGAAGAGAAGAGCGGAAUUCCACGUGUAGCGGUGAAAUGCGUAGAGAUGUGGAGGAACACCAGUGGCGAAGGCGGCUCUCUGGUCCGUAACUGACGCUGUGGCACGAAAGCGUGGGGAGCGAACAGG
rnacentral:misc_RNA from 1 species